UGUAAGGCAAGUAUUACGUGAAUAAAAUCUUAACAGUAUUUUUCAAAUCCAACAUGUGUGUAUUCUACCAGAAGUUUAAUGUAACUCGAAGGCAUGACCUGGUUCACAUAUGGCUCAUCUUAAAAACCUAUGCUGGUUGUACAUAAAUCAGUGACAUGGAGCAUGAACUACGACUUAAAGUUCAGUUUAUUGCUGCCUCAAA